AGUGAACGCUGGCGGUAUGCCUAACACAUGCAAGUCGAACGGCCGCACAGUAAGAGCUUGCUCCUACGGGUGGCGAGUGGCGGACGGGUGAGGAAUACAUCGGCAUCUACUUAUUCGUGGGGGACAUCGUAGGGAAACUUACGCUAAUACCGCAUACGAUCUACGGCUGAAAUCAGUGGAUCUUCGGACCUUGCCCGUCUCAAUGAGCCGAGGUCGGAUUAGCUAGUUGGCGGGGUAAAGGCCCACCAAGGCGACGCUCCGUAGCUGGUCCGACCGGAUGAUCCGCCACACUGGAACUGAGGCCCGGUCCAGGCUCCUAAGGGAGGCAGCCGUGGGGAAUUUUGGACAAUGGGCGGAAGCCUGAUCCAGCCAUACCGGGUGGGUGAAGAAGGCCUUCGGGUUGGAAAGCCCUUUUGUUGGGAAAGAAAAGCAGCAGGAUGAAGCCCCGCUGUUCUGGCGGUACCCAAAGAAUAAGCACCGGCUAACUUCGUG
rnacentral:rRNA from 1 species